UCACCUCACCAUCGGUAAUCCGGUGAGAGGUCCACAUUGGCACUUUCGGGCCGUUCUUCACCAUGGCCGCCGAAGACGGACCCCCCUCUCCAGACUCCGGAAGGAUUGGCCUUGGGUCAGCCGCCGGAGCCUUCAUCUUCUCCGGCCUACUUUCCGACAUUAGUGACACCCACCACCCGUUCGGAAAAAAACCGCAAUGGGAGCAGCUCCACCCGUUCAGGAAAGCACCAACCAGCUUUUUUCUUUCGAUACGAAAGUUUCGUUUGGAUCACUGUCCAAAGACGUAGAUGUGAAUAUGGCAUUUAUUCUGCCUUACAUUUUCUAAGCUAGGAUUGAUUAGCAAGCUUCUAUGGAGAGAGAUGUAGAGUAAUAAGGGG
rnacentral:lncRNA from 1 species